AUAGAGACUCAGAGCUGCAUAUCAAUAAGCGGAGGAAAAGAAACUAACAAGGAUUCCCUUAGUAACGGCGAGUGAAGCGGGAAGAGCUCAAAUUUGAAAUCUUCAAGGUUCUACCUUGACGAAUUGUAGUUUAUAGAAGUGUUUUCUGUUAGUAGAGUGGCAAAAGUUCUUUGGAAUAGGACAUCAUAGAGGGUGAGAAUCCCGUAUUUGGUCAUUCUUUCUAGCUUUGUGAUACACUUUCAACGAGUCGGAUUGUUUGGGAAUGCAGUCCAAAAUGGGUGGUAAAUUUCAUCUAAAGCUAAAUAUUGGCGAGAGACCGAUAGCGAACAAGUACCGUGAGGGAAAGAUGAAAAGAACUUUGAAAAGAGAGUUAAACAGUACGUGAAAUUGUCAAAAGGGAAGCGUUUGACACCAGUGUUGCUUAGUUGAAAGUCAAUUAAAUAUUUUUCGAUUUUAAGUAGUAUUGACCUUAUCAGCUUGCUGCUUUUUUCUCGGAAAUUAUUUAAUGCACUAUUUCAGUUAACAAGUCAACAUCAAUUUCUUUUGUUGUAAAAGAGUAUGAGGAAGGUGGCUUUCUCUUCGGCGCAAGUGUUUAUAGCCUUGUACCUCUGCAAUUCGGAGAGAUUGAGGUCUGCAGCGUAGACUCUUCGGGGUUAGAUACACUUUGUGCUAAGUUAUAGCUUUUCAUAGACAACUUGUUGACUAUGUUAAGUCUUGUAGCUUACUCGCUUAGUGCUAUUUUACCUACGCUUAGGAUGUUGAUAGUCACAGCGUGUAC
rnacentral:rRNA from 1 species